rnacentral:misc_RNA from 1 species
GAUGAAGAACGUAGCGAAAUGCGAUACUUGGUGUGAAUUGCAGAAUCCCGUGAACCAUCGAGUCUUUGAACGCAAGUUGCGCCCGAAGCCAUCAGGUUGAGGGCACGUCUGCCUGGGCGUCACAUAUCGUUGCCCAAUGCCUAUUGCAGUGCAAUAGGAAUUUCUAGGGCGAAUGAUGGCUUCCCGUGAGCGUUGUUGCCUCGCGGUUGGUUGAAAAUCGAGUCCUUGGUAGGGUGUGCCAUGGUAGAUGGUGGUCGAGUUAGAACGAUACCGAUCAUGUGCAUGCUCCCCAAAAUAUGGCCUCUAUGACCCACACGCGUCUUUUGACGCUCAUGACGAGACCUCAGGUGAGGCGGGGCUACCCGCUGAAUUUAAGCAUAUCAAUAAGCGGAGGA